CCAGACUCCUACGGGAGGCAGCAGUGAGGAAUAUUGGUCAAUGGGCGGGAGCCUGAACCAGCCAAGCCGCGUGAAGGAAGAAGGCGCCAAGCGUCGUAAACUUCUUUUGUCGGGGAACAAAGGGCGCCACGUGUGGCGUUGUGAGUGUACCCGAAGAAAAAGCAUCGGCUAACUCCGUGCCAGCAGCCGCGGUAAUACGGAGGAUGCGAGCGUUAUCCGGAUUUAUUGGGUUUAAAGGGUGCGCAGGCGGUGUGUUAAGUCAGCGGACAACGCCCGGGGCUAAACCCCGGUCCGCCGUUGAAACUGGCAGUCUCGAGUUGGAGAGAAGUAUGCGGAAUGCGCGGUGUAGCGGUGAAAUGCAUAGAUAUCGCGCAGAACUCCGAUUGCGAAGGCAGCAUGCCGGCUCCACACUGACGCUGAGGCACGAAAGCGUGGGUAUCGAACAGGAUUAGAUACCCGCGUA
rnacentral:rRNA from 1 species